GACGAACGCUGGCGGCGUGCCUAAUACAUGCAAGUUGAGCGCUGAAGGUUGGUACUUGUACCGACUGGAUGAGCAGCGAACGGGUGAGUAACGCGUGGGGAAUCUGCCUUUGAGCGGGGGACAACAUUUGGAAACGAAUGCUAAUACCGCAUAAAAACUUUAAACACAAGUUUUAAGUUUGAAAGAUGCAAUUGCAUCACUCAAAGAUGAUCCCGCGUUGUAUUAGCUAGUUGGUGAGGUAAAGGCUCACCAAGGCGAUGAUACAUAGCCGACCUGAGAGGGUGAUCGGCCACAUUGGGACUGGGACACGGCCCAAAAUCCUACGGGAGGCAGCAGUAGGGAAUCUUCGGCAAUGGACGAAAGGCUGACCGAGCAACGCCGCGUGAGUGAAGAAGGUUUUCGGGUCGUAAAACUCUGUUGGUAGAGAAGAACGUUGGUGAGAGUGGAAAGCUCAUCAAGUGACGGUAACUACCCAGAAAGGGACGGCUAACUACGUG
rnacentral:rRNA from 1 species